UAUGGUAAUUGUCAGCAGCCGCGGUAAUACGGAAGGUCCGGGCGUUAUCCGGAUUUAUUGGGUUUAAAGGGAGCGUAGGCCGGAGAUUAAGCGUGUUGUGAAAUGUAGAUGCUCAACAUCUGCACUGCAGCGCGAACUGGUUUCCUUGAGUACGCACAAAGUGGGCGGAAUUCGUGGUGUAGCGGUGAAAUGCUUAGAUAUCACGAAGAACUCCGAUUGCGAAGGCAGCUCACUGGAGCGCAACUGACGCUGAAGCUCGAAAGUGCGGGUAUCGAACAGG
rnacentral:rRNA from 1 species